ACCCAAGGGAUUGAAUAAGAUCGUCUUCAACUGCUACGGGAUGUUAGUGGUGCUUUCAGACCAGGGAUAUUGACGGCACUAGUAGGUGUUAGUGGUGCGGGGAAGACAACUCUGAUGGAUGUCUUGGCAGGAAGGAAGACCGGAGGGUAUAUUGAAGGAAGUAUUAGCAUUUCUGGCUACCCAAAGAACCAAGAAACAUUUGCACGUGUGAGUGGUUACUGUUUAUGAAUCACUCCUAUACUCAGCUUGGCUUCAUGUUCCUUCGGAAAUAGAUACAAAAUCACGAACGAUGUUUGUCAAAGAAGUUAUGGAGUUGGUUGAGCUCAAACCAUUGAGGAAUGCUUUAGUUGGGCUUCCAGGAAUAGAUGGUCUUUCAACAGAACAAAGAAAGAGGUUGACGGUAGCUUUAGAGCUGGCUGCUAACCCCUCUAUCAUCUUCAUGGAUGAGCCAACAUCUGGUCUUGAUGCUAGAGCAGCUACCAUUGUCAUGCGUAUGGUGAGAAAUACAGCGGAUACGGGAAGACCUGUGUAUGCAGUAUACACCAACCUAGCAUCAACAUAUUUGAAGCCUUUGACGAUCUACUAUUGAUGAAACGAGGUGGACAAGUCAUUUAUACAGGACCUCUUGGUCGCCAUUCUCACAAACUCAGAGAAUAGUUUGAGGU